AGUGAACGCUGGCGGUAGGCCUAACACAUGCAAGUCGAACGGCAGCACAGUAAGAGCUUGCUCUUACGGGUGGCGAGUGGCGGACGGGUGAGGAAUACAUCGGAAUCUACUUUUUCGUGGGGGAUAACGUAGGGAAACUUACGCUAAUACCGCAUACGACCUACGGGUGAAAGCAGGGGAUCUUCGGACCUUGCGCGAUUGAAUGAGCCGAUGUCGGAUUAGCUAGUUGGCGGGGUAAAGGCCCACCAAGGCGACGAUCCGUAGCUGGUCUGAGAGGAUGAUUCGCCACAAUGGAACUGAGACACGGUCCAGACUCCUAAGGGAGGCAGCAGUGGGGAAUAUUGGACAAUGGGCGCAAGCCUGAUCCAGCCAUACCGCGUGGGUGAAGAAGGCCUUCGGGUUGUAAAGCCCUUUUGUUGGGAAAGAAAAGCAGCAGGUUAAUACCCCGCUGUUCUGACGGUACCCAAAGAAUAAGCACCGGCUAACUUCGUG
rnacentral:rRNA from 1 species